rnacentral:misc_RNA from 1 species
UGAAUCCGAGAAUUUCACCUCUGACAAUGGAAUACGAAUACCCCCAACUGUCCCUAUUAAUCAUUACCUCGGUGCGCAAACCAACAAAAUAGUACCGAGGUCCUAUCUUAUUAUUCCAUGCUAACAUAUUCAACGGCAUAAGCCUGCUUUGAACACUCUAAUUUUCUCACAGUAAACGAUGGGCAUCCCCCGCACGACAACCUAAUGCCACACGGGCUCCACCCAAGGAUGGCGACACAGGCAAGCACUAACACAAAGUGAUAGGCCGCCCGUGACAGCCACAAAUCCAACUACGAGCUUUUUAACUGCAACAACUUUAAUAUACGCUAUUGGAGCUGGAAUUACCGC